rnacentral:lncRNA from 1 species
AAACAGAGCAUGUCGAGAAUAAUGCCUCAGAGUUUCUAAGUGCCGAGACUUCUGAGUCAAAAAAGUUCUGCCUCGUGCCUCUCGCCUAGGACUCCUUAUAUACUCGCUCCUAGGUUGGUUUACGCUUUUUACUCUUCUGCCUAAGCCGUCAUAACUUAAAAAUGGAGAUAUUCCGUUUUUCCCGAUCUUUCUAAUUAUCUUCGAAUACUUUGUAUUUAUCCGCGGAAACUUGACAUUUAUCUUUCCUUGCGAACCAAGCAUAAACCGUCCUACGGUUUAUUGGCUUUUGGUUAAGAAAUCGUAAGUGGGUUUCGAGUCACGUC